AUCAACCCUAAGGUUAUUCUGGAAGCUAGGUACUGUAAUUUCAAAUGACAACUGAGGUCAAGUUUGGAGUCACCGAACAGUCCGAUCCAGACCUUCUGUGAAGCCCUGCCAGCUGAUGAGAUGUCCCUGGGCCUCUGAGAAAAAUGCUGACUAUCCCAGGCUUCAGGAGUUUGCUACUAAAUCCGCUCACAUUAAAACUGGGAGCCAAUGUUGAAGGAGUGCUCAAGAGUUCACUUAGAAAUUCUCUUGGGUGUUUCUUUAGAAACUCACUUGCACCUCUGUCAUCUUCCCCCAUUAUUUAGGAUGAGCCAUUAGAAAAUUUGAAGUUAACCAACUUAUACAUUGUACCAUGGAAUCUUCAAAAAACUGAAUUAAAU
rnacentral:lncRNA from 1 species